CCUGCCAAACCUCUUAACAAUGCUCAAAUUGGCAGGU
ncrna:unclassified sequences abiF RNA